GAGCUUAAGCAGUAAGCAGCAACUUUGGAGAAGCAGGCGUAAGGCGUGUGGGCUGCUAGGAGCCCAGAGGACGGGACGGGACUGUGGAAGCUAUUCCAGCUGUAAUGUAGUCUUAGCAUCAUGGGGUGUCUGAAAAGCAUCCUCUCUCCCUCUGGCAACAGCAGACACGUGAACAACUUGGCUCCCCUGCAGAUGGCCGGAGUCUUCAUACCUUUUACCUUUCUCUUCUGUCUAACCAAGGGUCCUUUGCUUUGAAUCUGUGAAAUGUGGCAUCAGGCUGAGUCGUAUAAUCAGGCUGAUACAUGGGAGAGGGAAGAGAGAUAAUAUUGCAACUGUGACCGAAUAAAUAACUGGAACCAGAAGUGUGCUGGUUGGUUGUCUAUGGAGAAAAGUGCCCGGAGCUUGUUUCUGCCACAUCUUGACCUGAUGAGAUCUUUUGAAUCCCACUUCUGUAAUACACUUGGGAGCAGUGGGACACUUCUUAUUCAGGGAAUUGUACCUAUUCUCUUUCCCCCUCCCAAUUUGGUAAGUUUCUAACUUUUCAUUCAAUUAAAGAUCAGAAUUACUUAAUUUUGUUUCCUGGUGAAUUAUUUUAUUUUAAUUGAUUGGCCU
rnacentral:lncRNA from 1 species